rnacentral:tRNA from 3 species
GGUUUCAUAGCUCAGUCAGUAGAGCAAAGGACUGAAAAUCCUUGUGUCGACAGUGCAAUUCUGUCUGAAACCACCA